AGUGAACGCUGGCGGUAGGCCUAACACCUGCAAGUCGAACGGCAGCACAGUAAGAGCUUGCUCUUACGGGUGGCGAGUGGCGGACGGGUUAGGAAUACAUCGGAAUCUACUUUUUCGUGGGGGAUAACGUAGGGAAACUUACGCUAAUACCGCAUACGCCCUACGGGUGAACGCAUGGGAUCUUCGGACCUUGCGCGAUUGAAUGAGCCGAUGUCGGAUUAGCUAGUUGGCGGGGUAAAGGCCCACCAAGGCGACGAUCCGUAGCUGGUCUGAGAGGAUGAACAGCCACACUAGAACUGAGACACGGUCCAGACGCCUACGGGAGGCAGCAGUGGGGAAUAUUGGACAAUGGGCGCAAGCCUGAUCCAGCCAUACCGCGUGAGUGAAGAAGGCCUUCGGGUUGUAAAGCCCUUUUGUUGGGAAAGAAAAGCAGCAGGUUAAUACCCCGCUGUUCUGACGGUACCCAAAGAAUAAGCACCGGCUAACUUCGUG
rnacentral:rRNA from 1 species